GGUUUCUUGAAUACGAUAUAGGAAAUUUAACCUGCCCAUUGAAAUAAAUUUUAAAAGGCCGCAGUAAUUUGACUGUGCAAAGGUAGCAUAAUCAUUAGUCUUUUAAUUAAGGACUGGAAUGAAUGGUUGAAUGAGGUAAUUUCUGUCUUAUAUUUAAUAAAAUUGAAUUUAGUAUUUGAAUUAAAAAAUUUAAGUGUUAUUAAGGGACGAGAAGACCCUAUAGAAUUUAAUAAAUUACAAUAUUUAAUUAAGUUAAGAAUAAACAUUAUUAGUUAUUAUGAAUUUUAUUAGGUUGGGGCGAUUAGAAGAUAUAAUUAACUCUUCUUUAGAUUAAAUAAUAUAAUUAAUUAUAUGAUCCAUAAAAUUAUGAUUAGAAGAUAAAAUUACCUUAGGGAUAACAGCAUAAUUUUUUUUGAGAGUUCAUAUUAAAAGAAAAGAUUAUGACCUCGAUGUUGGAUUAAGAUUAGUUUUAGGUGAAGAAGUUUAUGGACUAGGUCUGUUCGACCUUUAAAAUCUUACA
rnacentral:rRNA from 1 species